GCCUGAGUGGCUCAGUUAGUUAAGCAUCCAACUUCGGCUGGAGUCAUGAUCGUGAGGCUUGUGGGUUCAAGUCCCACGUCAGGCU
rnacentral:tRNA from 1 species